GUAUUAAAGGCGACGCUGCCCAGUGAAAAAUUAAACGGCCGCGGUAUCCUAACCGUGCAAAGGUAGCAUAAUCAUUUGUCUAUUAAUUGUAGACCUGUAUGAAAGGCAAAAUGAGAGCCCAACUGUCUCUUAUAACAAAUCAAUUAAACUGAUUUCCUAGUACAAAAGCUAGAAUAUCAACAUAAGACCAGAAGACCCUGUGAAGCUUUAACUAACCUAUUAAACCCAAUAAUAGCUAUUUUAGGUUGGGGCGACCUUGGAAUAAAAAAGAACUUCCAACCUAUGACUCCCUCAUAAACUAAGGCAAACAAGCCAACACAGACCCAGCAUAGCUGACAAUUGAAACAAGUUACUCCAGGGAUAACAGCGCUAUCUUCUUUAAGAGCCCAUAUCAAAAAGAAGGUUUACGACCUCGAUGUUGGAUCAGGCAACCCCAGCAAUGCAACCGUUACUAAAGGUUCGUUUGUUCAACGAUUAAUAGUCCUACGUGAUCUGAG
rnacentral:rRNA from 1 species